rnacentral:ncRNA from 1 species
GAAAUAGCUAAGAAAAGAUGAGUAACUAAUGUGAAUAGCACUAAAGAGAGCCGCGGCAGGUGAGAGGCGGUGUGACGAAAGCUUAGUGAAGAUGGUCUUGGAGCUAAUUUGAUCGUGAGCUGUUUGCGAGCGGUCAACAGGGGUCGCCUGUUAUAGCGAACGAGUAUAGCUUACAUUAGUGUACUUAGUGAGGGUAUCAUUGUGAAAUGGUACUAAAUGACGGGUGGUAACACGUGGAUUUGAAAUUGACACGUCCCUAGU